rnacentral:tRNA from 1 species
UCCGGCCUAGCUCAAUUGGUAGAGCAACUGACUUGUAAUCAGUAGGUUGGGGGUUCAAGUCCUCUGGCCGGCACCA